rnacentral:sRNA from 1 species
UAAUAUCUUUGUCAGAACGAUGCUGGGC